CAGAAAAUUUCAGGACCCGUAUCUUCCUCUGCAACACAUAACCCUAGCUGUGCCUCCACCUAAUUCUUUUUUCUUCCUUUCUAUCUGGAGAGUACUCUAUUUGAGAAGCGAUGGCUACAACGGUUUCGUUUCCGAGGUUUUAAGCUUUCGAUCAGUUAUCCCUUUUUCGAUUCCAUCAUAUUUUCAGUUAAUUUUGACAGCGAGAAUUUAGAAGCUGAAGAUGACUACCAUUGAUUGAUGGAUGUGGAGCUUGGGUUAUAAAGUUCUCAUGAUAUUUAUCAGGAAAAAUGGGUUUAAUUUCGAUUGAAUAACAAGGGAAACGGACAGUUUUCACGAUUAUUAUGAGAGUUCAGGAAAUGGUGAAGAAGAAGACUGAUACACUUUCAAGAAGGUUUUCAUAGCAACCAGGGGCAGAGGGAAUCUGGAAAGGUGUUAGUUUACUCGAAUCACAUGCACCAGUAAACCUCUUUAGGUAAUCACAAAGAGGGUUUAAUGAGUUCGAAUAUAUUGAUAACGGGUAGGUCAGGUAGGUAAGACAGCUUAACCAUCUUAUCAAGGUUGGAAUUGUGGAGAGGAGUAUAUGUGGUCCUCUUUCAAGAAUAGAGGUAUGCCAUUCUCUUGCCUGCAUUGCAAAAUACAAUUUGGCACCGAUUGAAAUUUCAUUUGACAGGGUCGGUGUGCUUUUGAUUUCAAAAGGCACAUAGAUUUCAGCAGGUACCAUCUUUCAUCACAUGUUCCAACUUUUUAAUGAAAACACUGUGUUUUUUAUUUUGUGAGUUAGCGGGUUUACUUCUUUUUUGACUUCUUAGAUAUGUGAACUCUUCUUUUCUCCACUGCUAAGUCGCGGACUCAUCUCAUCUUGCCUCAAACAGUCGGCAUAGGAAUUGAUUUUGUUUCGCUCUUUUCCUAUGGUAAUUGAUUUAUCGGCCAACUUUCCGUGUCAAAUGCUUAAUAGAUUUUCAAAUGCUUCUCAUGAGCCUAUGAAAGGUACUGAAUCACAUACCUUCAUCUGAGUAUCUGAUGUCUGAGAAGGUGAAGAUAAAGGAACUAUAGAUCAAAUUGGCACAACUUAUUUUUCUUCAAAGUUGAGUCCUGGUAUUGGCUAUUCAUGAAGAUCUGGAUUAUAUGGUAUCACAUUGGUUUUAGAUUGUUUGAGCAAUAAGUCUUCGUAAACAGUGAAUUAAGGAUGCGAAAAAAGAAAGAAGUGAAUGGGAGAGGUGUGGUAGCGCUGUGGUAUCCGGUGAACCUGAUGAUGCCCUAAAACUGAAGUCUGAAGCUCUUGGAAUUUUGAGAGAGGAAAUAUGCUAUUGAAGUUAAUGCCAGAUCAAGCCUUGAUAUUUGCUCAAUGCUUUUAUUCUUUUUGCAUUUGAUAAAGAGCUUACAAAUCCAAUUGAUUGUGUUCUGUGUUACUGGUUGCAUAGAUUAAUAUUGCAAUGGACAUUUGAUUCCAACUGGAACUUACGGUGCUCUUCUUCUUUUUA